rnacentral:rRNA from 1 species
UACGAAGGGUGCAAACGUUGCUCGGAAUCACUGGGCGUAAAGCGCACGUAGGCGGAUCUUUAAGUCAGGGGUGAAAUCCCAAGGCUCAACCUUGGAACUGCCUUUGAUACUGGGGAUCUCGAGUCCGGAAGAGGUUGGUGGAACUCCGAGUGUAGAGGUGAAAUUCGUAGAUAUUCGGAAGAACACCGGUGGCGAAGGCGGUCUGCUGGGCCAGUACUGACGCUGAGGCGCGACAGCGUGGGGAGCAAACAGG